GGAUACUCAAAGUGGCUGCACAUUUAUACAGUUUAAAUUUGGGGGAAAAUUCCUCCAAAAUGUCCAUCAAACACACAUACAACAAAAUGGAUCACUGUUGCUUGUCACACAGAAAAUGCACUGCAACAAGCAAAAUAGAGAACAUGAGCAAGUAUGUCUGGACAAGAAGAACAGUGCUACAGAUGGACAAUGUGCAUUGUGAUGAACUACAUUUUCAGCUACAACAGCCCUUUAGACCUAUGAUACUGAAUGUAGACCUCCUGUCAUGUCAGAGACUGCUAGAAGUAUAGAGUGAUGCAUCUCCUAUCAUUUUGAUGUUUGCCCAUGACUGAUAAAAAACAAGAAGGCUCUCAAGACCAUGAAGUGUUACAUUACAUGGGCCAAGAUCCCAUAGCCGGAAAUACUUCAUAAAGUUCUGCCAUGAUGGAUCUAGGAAACAUCUUCAUCCUCACUAUGCACAUCUUCAUCCUCACUAGGCCCGGGCUGUGGCGCAGGCGGAAGAGCAAGCCAGCUGCAAUUAACUGCAAUGAAUCACUCUGACCAGGAGGUCAUGAGUUCGAGGCACCUCGGAGCCUAUGUUUGUUUGUCUUUGUUCUAUGUUAAAAGGCAUUGAAUGUUUGCCUAUAUGUGUAAUGUGAUAUGCCCUGAGUCCCCUUCGGGGUGAGAAGGGCGGAAUAUAAAUGCUGUAAAUAAAUAAAUAAAAUAAAUAUGCACAGAA